rnacentral:rRNA from 2 species
CUACACAUGCAGUCGACGGCAGCACAGGAGAGCUUGCUCUCUGGGUGGCGAGUGGCGGACGGGUGAGGAAUACAUCGGAAUCUACUCUGUCGUGGGGGAUAACGUAGGGAAACUUACGCUAAUACCGCAUACGACCUACGGGUGAAAGCAGGGGACCUUCGGGCCUUGCGCGAUUGAAUGAGCCGAUGUCGGAUUAGCUAGUUGGCGGGGUAAAGGCCCACCAAGGCGACGAUCCGUAGCUGGUCUGAGAGGAUGAUCAGCCACACUGGAACUGAGACACGGUCCAGACUCCUACGGGAGGCAGCAGUGGGGAAUAUUGGACAAUGGGCGCAAGCCUGAUCCAGCCAUACCGCGUGGGUGAAGAAGGCCUUCGGGUUGUAAAGCCCUUUUGUUGGGAAAGAAAUCCAGCUGGCUAAUACCCGGUUGGGAUGACGGUACCCAAAGAAUAAGCACCGGCUAACUUCGUGCCAGCAGCCGCGGUAAUACGAAGGGUGCAAGCGUUACUCGGAAUUACUGGGCGUAAAGCGUGCGUAGGUGGUCGUUUAAGUCCGUUGUGAAAGCCCUGGGCUCAACCUGGGAACUGCACUGGAUACUGGGCGACUAGAAUGUGGUAUAGGGUAGCGGAAUUCCUGGUGUAGCAGUGAAAUGCGUUUAGAUCAUGAGGA